rfam:Citrus sinensis cultivar Ridge Pineapple sweet orange scaffold00097_contig_26, whole genome shotgun sequence.
AGACCGUGAUGUGGGCAUUUUUUAAUAGGUCUUUGUAUCUCUCCCAUACUUCAUAUAAUGAUUCUAGCUCAAACUGAGCAAAGGUUGUGAUGUCAUUCCUCAACUU